UAGAUCUAGACUGAAGCAAAUCCUGAUAUU
rnacentral:piRNA from 1 species